CAGACAUCAGGCAAAAUGCAGGGAACACUUGAGGAUCAAAUCAUCAGCGCCAACCCAUUGCUGGAGGCCUUUGGAAACGCCAAGACUGUGAGGAAUGACAACUCCUCACGCUUUGGCAAAUUCAUCAGAAUCCAUUUCGGUGCCACAGGAAAACUGGCUUCUGCAGAUAUUGAAACAUAUCUGCUGGAGAAGUCCAGAGUCACUUUCCAGCUCAAGGCGGAAAGGAGCUACCACAUCUUUUAUCAGAUCAUGUCCAACAAGAAGCCAGAGCUAAUCGACAUGCUCCUCAUUACCACCAACCCCUAUGACUACCAAUUUGUCAGUCAAGGCGAGAUCACUGUCGCCAGCAUUAACGACCAGGAGGAGCUCAUGGCUACAGAUAGUGCCAUUGACAUCCUGGGCUUCAGUGCCGAUGAGAAAACAGCCAUCUACAAGCUGACAGGGGCUGUCAUGCACUAUGGGAACCUGAAGUUCAAGCAGAAGCAACGAGAGGAGCAGGCAGAGCCUGAUGGCACUGAAGUUGCUGACAAGGCUGCCUACCUGAUGGGUCUGAACUCAGCAGACCUGCUCAAGGCCCUCUGCUACCCCCGAGUCAAGGUGGGGAAUGAAUACGUCACCAAGGGCCAAACUGUGCAGCAGGUGUACAAUUCAGUGGGUGCCCUGGCAAAGGCUGUCUAUGAGAAGAUGUUCCUGUGGAUGGUUGUUCGCAUCAACGAACAGCUGGACACGAAGCAGCCCAGGCAGUACUUCAUUGGUGUGCUGGACAUUGCUGGCUUUGAGAUCUUUGAUUUCAACAGCCUGGAGCAGCUGUGCAUCAACUUCACCAAUGAGAAACUGCAACAGUUCUUCAACCACCACAUGUUCGUGCUGGAGCAGGAGGAGUACAAGAAGGAGGGGAUUGAAUGGACAUUCAUUGAUUUUGGGAUGGACCUGGCUGCCUGCAUUGAGCUCAUUGAGAAGCCCAUGGGCAUUUUCUCCAUCCUGGAAGAGGAGUGCAUGUUCCCCAAGGCAACUGACACCUCUUUCAAGAACAAGCUCUAUGACCAGCACCUGGGCAAGUCCAACAACUUCCAGAAACCCAAGCCUGGCAAAGGCAAGGUUGAGGCCCACUUCUCCCUGGUGCACUAUGCUGGCACAGUGGACUACAACAUCACUGGGUGGCUGGAGAAGAACAAGGACCCUCUGAAUGAAACUGUCAUUGGGCUGUACCAGAAAUCAUCUGUGAAGACAUUGGCUUUACUUUUUGCUUCUUAUGGUGGAGCAGAAGCAGAGGCUAGUGGUGGUGGUGGUGGUGGCAAGAAGGGAGGCAAGAAGAAGGGUUCUUCUUUCCAGACUGUCUCAGCUCUUUUCCGGGAGAAUCUCAACAAGCUGAUGACCAAUCUGCGGAGCACUCACCCCCACUUUGUGCGCUGCAUCAUCCCCAAUGAGACUAAAACACCUGGUGCCAUGGAGCACGAGCUGGUGCUGCACCAGCUGCGCUGUAACGGCGUGCUGGAAGGGAUCAGGAUCUGCAGGAAAGGGUUCCCCAGCAGAGUCCUCUAUGCUGACUUCAAACAGAGCUACUGUGUGUUGCUUGGAAAAAAACGGCCUUAUCUUCCUCUGAUUCCAGAUACUCAUUUUGCUCAUGGUAAAGUGUUAACACUCAUCAGGCUGAGAAUAUUCAUUGUACUUUUUAAUUAUGCCUCAGGGAAUCCAUCUUCUGCAUCCAGUACAACAUUCGUGCAUUCAUGAAUGUCAAGCACUGGCCAUGGAUGAAGCUGUUCUUCAAGAUCAAGCCCUUGCUGAAGAGUGCAGAGUCUGAGAAGGAGAUGGCCAACAUGAAGGAAGAAUUUGAGAAAACCAAGGAAGAGCUUGCGAAGUCUGAGGCAAAGCGGAAGGAGCUUGAGGAGAAAAUGGCCUCUCUAAUGAAGGAGAAAAAUGACCUGCAGCUCCAAGUGCAGGCUGAAGCUGAUGCUUUGGCUGAUGCUGAGGAAAGGUGUGACCAGCUCAUCAAAACCAAAAUCCAGCUGGAAGCCAAAGUCAAGGAGGUGACUGAAAGGGCUGAGGAUGAAGAAGAAAUUAAUGCUGAGCUGACAGCCAAGAAGAGGAAGCUGGAGGAUGAAUGUUCAGAGCUGAAGAAAGAUAUUGAUGACCUUGAGCUAACACUGGCCAAGGUGGAGAAGGAAAAACAUGCCACUGAAAACAAGGUGAAAAACCUGACUGAGGAGAUGGCAGCCCUGGACGAGACCAUUGCCAAGCUGACAAAAGAGAAGAAAGCCCUCCAAGAGGCCCAUCAGCAGACCCUGGAUGACCUGCAGGCAGAGGAAGACAAAGUCAAUACUCUGACCAAAGCCAAGACCAAGCUGGAACAGCAAGUGGAUGAUCUGGAAGGGUCCCUGGAGCAAGAGAAGAAACUGCGCAUGGACCUGGAGAGAGCCAAGAGGAAACUGGAAGGAGACCUGAAGCUGGCCCAGGACAGCAUCAUGGAUUUGGAGAAUGAUAAGCAGCAGCUGGAUGAGAAACUCAAGAAGAAAGACUUUGAAAUCAGCCAGAUCCAGAGUAAAACUGAGGAUGAACAGGCCCUGGGCAUGCAACUUCAGAAGAAAAUCAAGGAGCUGCAGGCCCGCAUUGAGGAGCUGGAGGAGGAAAUUGAGGCAGAGCGAACCUCUCGUGCUAAAGCAGAGAAGCAUCGCGCUGACCUGUCCAGGGAGCUGGAGGAGAUCAGCGAGCGCCUGGAAGAAGCAGGAGGGGCCACAGCAGCUCAGGUGGAGAUGAACAAGAAGCGCGAGGCAGAGUUCCAGAAGAUGCACCGUGACCUGGAAGAGGCCACGCUGCAGCACGAAGCCACGGCUGCCGCCCUGCGCAAGAAGCACGCGGACAGCACAGCUGAGCUGGGCGAGCAGAUCGACAACCUGCAACGCGUGAAGCAGAAGCUGGAGAAGGAGAAGAGUGAGAUGAAGAUGGAGAUUGAUGACUUGGCCAGCAACAUGGAGUCUGUCUCCAAAGCCAAGGCCAACCUGGAGAAGAUGUGCCGCACUCUGGAAGAUCAGCUGAGUGAGAUUAAGAGCAAGGAAGAAGAGCAUCAGCGCAUGAUCAAUGACCUCAAUGCUCAAAGAGCUCGUCUGCAGACAGAGUCAGGUGAAUUUUCACGCCAGGUAGAUGAGAAAGAUGCUCUGAUUUCUCAGCUGUCAAGAGGCAAACAGGCUUUCACCCAACAGAUUGAGGAACUCAAGAGGCAUCUAGAGGAAGAGAUAAAGGCCAAGAACGCCCUGGCCCAUGCCCUGCAGUCCGCUCGCCACGACUGUGACUUGCUCCGGGAACAAUAUGAGGAGGAGCAGGAGGCCAAGGGGGAGCUGCAGCGAGCCCUGUCCAAGGCCAACAGCGAAGUGUCCCAGUGGAGAACCAAAUACGAGACGGACGCGAUUCAGCGCACGGAGGAGCUCGAGGAGGCCAAGUAUGUGGGGAAGAAGGAUGGGAAAUGACUGGAGAAAAUGGAGGCUGGUCAACAGAAAUUGGAAUCUCUGAGAGUGGGUUAACACAAGAAUUAGAUGAAGGCAAGGAUACAAAUUUGUAAAAAAAGGGGAGAGGAAGGCAGAGGAAAAUGUGUAGAAAGGAAGGGAAAAUAUAGGCUUUAAGACUAGAAGCACUAAGCCAGGCCUAAUAGGUGAUAGGACACAGCUAAGGAUAGAUCCCUACAUAUCUGUGAAAAGUGCUCAGUUCAAAAUGCUUAAAGUGAUCAACUGUCAACCCUUAAAGUGAUCAAUUCUGUCUCAUGACAGAAUAGAACUGACACCCUUCCAAGCUUUAACAUGCAACUGUGCUUGUCCUUCCUUGCAGAGGAGAUUUCUGACCUCACGGAGCAGAUUGCGGAGGGAGGAAAGGCGAUUCAUGAGCUGGAGAAAGUGAAGAAGCAGAUUGAGCAGGAGAAAUCUGAAAUCCAGGCUGCUCUGGAGGAAGCUGAGGCCUCCCUGGAACAUGAGGAGGGGAAGAUCCUGCGCCUGCAGCUUGAGCUCAACCAAGUGAAGGCUGAGAUUGACAGAAAGAUAGCAGAGAAAGAUGAGGAGAUUGAUCAGAUGAAGAGAAACCACCUCAGAAUUGUGGAGUCCAUGCAGAGCACCCUGGAUGCUGAGAUCAGGAGCAGGAAUGAAGCCCUGAGGCUGAAGAAGAAGAUGGAGGGAGACCUGAAUGAAAUGGAGAUCCAGCUGAGCCAUGCCAAUCGUGUGGCUGCAGAGGCACAGAAGAACCUGAGGAAUACCCAGGCUGUGCUCAAGGACACCCAGAUACACUUGGAUGAUGCUCUGAGGACACAGGAUGACCUGAAGGAGCAGGUGGCCAUGGUGGAGCGCAGAGCAAACCUGCUGCAGGCUGAAAUUGAGGAGCUCCGGGCAGCCCUGGAGCAGACGGAGCGGUCGAGGAAAUUGGCUGAGCAGGAGCUCCUGGAUGCAAGUGAGAGAGUUCAGCUCCUCCACACUCAGAACACCAGCCUGAUCAACACCAAGAAGAAGCUGGAAACAGACAUUGCCCAGAUCCAGAGUGAAAUGGAGGAUACCAUCCAGGAAGCCCGCAAUGCUGAGGAGAAGGCCAAGAAGGCCAUCACAGAUGCAGCCAUGAUGGCAGAGGAGCUGAAGAAGGAGCAGGACACCAGUGCCCACCUGGAGAGGAUGAAGAAGAACCUGGACCAGACUGUGAAGGACCUGCAGCACCGUCUGGAAGAGGCUGAGCAGCUGGCACUGAAGGGAGGGAAGAAGCAGAUCCAGAAGCUGGAGGCCAGGGUGCGGGAGCUGGAAGGGGAGGUUGAUGCUGAGCAGAAGCGCAGCGCUGAAGCCGUGAAGGGUGUGCGCAAGUACGAGCGGAGGGUGAAGGAGCUCACCUACCAGUCUGAGGAAGACAGGAAGAAUAUUCUCAGGCUGCAGGAUCUGGUGGACAAGCUGCAAAUGAAAGUGAAAUCCUACAAGAGACAAGCUGAGGAGGCUGAGGAGCUGUCCAAUGUCAACCUCUCCAAGUUCCGCAAGAUCCAGCACGAGCUGGAGGAAGCCGAGGAGCGGGCUGACAUUGCAGAGUCACAGGUCAACAAGCUCCGAGCCAAGAGCCGGGAAAUUCAUGGCAAGAAAAUAGGAGAGGAAGAGUGAGGAUGUCAUGAGACAGCAAAGUGACCUGAGGGCU